AGAGUUUGAUCCUGGCUCAGGAUGAACGCUGGCGGCGUGCUUAACACAUGCAAGUCGAACGAAGCACUUAAAUUUGAUUCUUCGGAUGAAGAUUUUUGUGACUGAGUGGCGGACGGGUGAGUAACGCGUGGGUAACCUGCCUCAUACAGGGGGAUAACAGUUAGAAAUGACUGCUAAUACCGCAUAAGCGCACGGUGUCGCAUGACACAGUGUGAAAAACUCCGGUGGUAUGAGAUGGACCCGCGUCUGAUUAGCUAGUUGGCGAGGUAACGGCCCACCAAGGCGACGAUCAGUAGCCGACCUGAGAGGGUGAUCGGCCACAUUGGGACUGAGACACGGCCCAAACUCCUACGGGAGGCAGCAGUGGGGAAUAUUGCACAAUGGGGGAAACCCUGAUGCAGCGACGCCGCGUGAAGGAAGAAGUAUUUCGGUAUGUAAACUUCUAUCAGCAGGGAAGAAAAUGACGGUACCUGACUAAGAAGCCCCGGCUAACUACGUGCCAGCAGCCGCGGUAAUACGUAGGGGGCAAGCGUUAUCCGGAUUUAUUGGGUUUAAAGGGAGCGCAGGCCGCCGGGCAAGCGUGUUGUGAAAUGCAGUCGCUCAACGUCUGCACUGCAGCGCGAACUGCCCAGCUUGAGUGCGCGCAACGUUGGCGGAAUUCGCCGUGUAGCGGUGAAAUGCUUAGAUAUGGCGAAGAACUCCGAUUGCGAAGGCAGCUGACGGGUGCGUAACUGACGCUCAUGCUCGAAAGUGCGGGUAUCGAACAGGAUUAGAUACCCUGGUAGUCCGCACGGUAAACGAUGGAUGCCCGCUAUUCGGCCCAUGCGGUUGAGUGGCCAAGCGAAAGCGUUAAGCAUCCCACCUGGGGAGUACGCCGGCAACGGUGAAACUCAAAGGAAUUGACGGGGGCCCGCACAAGCGGAGGAACAUGUGGUUUAAUUCGAUGAUACGCGAGGAACCUUACCCGGGCUUGAAUUGCAGCCGAACGAUCCAGAGAUGGUGAGGCCCUUCGGGGCGGCUGUGAAGGUGCUGCAUGGUUGUCGUCAGCUCGUGCCGUGAGGUGUCGGCUUAAGUGCCAUAACGAGCGCAACCCCUCUCCCCAGUUGCCAUCGGGUAAUGCCGGGCACUCCGGGGACACUGCCACCGUAAGGUGCGAGGAAGGUGGGGAUGACGUCAAAUCAGCACGGCCCUUACGUCCGGGGCUACACGCGUGUUACAAUGGCCGGUACAGAGAGCCGGGUCUGCGCAAGCAGUCUCCAAUCCCAAAAGCCGGCCUCAGUUCGGACUGGGGUCUGCAACCCGACCCCACGAAGCUGGAUUCGCUAGUAAUCGCGCAUCAGCCAUGGCGCGGUGAGUACGUUCCCGGGCCUUGUACACACCGCCCGUCAAGCCAUGAAAGCCGGGGGUGCCUGAAGUCCGUGACCGCAAGGAUCGGCCUAGGGCAAAACUGGUAAUUGGGGCUAAGUCGGAACAAGGUA
rnacentral:rRNA from 1 species